rnacentral:rRNA from 1 species
GGGCCCGCACAAGCGGAGGAACAUGUGGUUUAAUUCGAUGAUACGCGAGGAACCUUACCUGGGCUUAAAUGUAUAGUGCAUUUCUGAGAAAUUAGAAUUUCCUUCGGGACUCUAUGCAAGGUGCUGCAUGGUUGUCGUCAGCUCGUGCCGUGAGGUGUCGGGUUAAGUCCCAUAACGAGCGCAACCCUUAUCGUUAGUUGCCAGCGGGUAAUGCCGGGAACUCUAACGAAACUGCCGGUGUAAACCGUGAGGAAGGUGGGGAUGACGUCAAAUCAGCACGGCCCUUAUGUCCAGGGCUACACACGUGUUACAAUGGUCGGUACAGAGGGCAGCUACCUGGAGACAGGAUGCGAAUCUCGAAAGCCGAUCUCAGUUCGGAUCGGAGUCUGCAACUCGACUCCGUGAAGCUGGAUUCGCUAGUAAUCGCGCAUCAGCCAUGGCG